rnacentral:rRNA from 1 species
UUGAAAGGGAAACGAUUGAAGUCAGUCAUGCCGGUGGGAAUCAACUUGGGGGAAACUCUGGGUGCACUUCUUCGCUUGGCAGGUCAACGUCGAUUUUGAAUGUCAUAAAAUAAUUGGGGGAAGGUAGCUCCUUCGGGAGUGUUAUAGCCCUUGAUAGAUGUGAUGUUUGAGGUCGAGGAUUGCAACGGAUACCCUUUGGGGCUAGCCGCCUGAUCCCUAAUCGGUGUUGGGUUACGGAUAGCAUGCUGACCGUGAUCUAAUUACUGGUUAAAAGGUUAGAGCGUGCAUAAAUUCGUUAAGGAUGUUGACGUA